rnacentral:misc_RNA from 1 species
GAUGAAGAACGUAGUGAAAUGCGAUAAGUAAUGUGAAUUGCAGAAUUCAGUGAAUCAUCGAAUCUUUGAACGCACAUUGCGCCCGCCAGUAUUCUGGCGGGCAUGCCUGUUCGAGCGUCAUUUCAACCAUCAAGCCCCCGGCUUGUGUUGGGGACCUGCGGCUGCCGCAGGCCCUGAAAAGCAGUGGCGGGCUCGCUGUCACACCGAGCGAAGUAGCAUACAUCUCGCUCUGGGCGUGCUGCGGGUUCCGGCCGUUAAACCACCUUCAUAACCCAAGGUUGACCUCGGAUCAGGUAGGAAGACCCGCUGAACUUAAGCAUAUCAAUAAGCGGAGGA